rnacentral:tRNA from 1 species
UGCGGGGUGGAGCAGUCUGGUAGCUCGUCGGGCUCAUAACCCGAAGGUCGUUGGUUCGAAUCCAGCCCCCGCUU